ensembl:Mt_tRNA
CAAAACGUAGCUUAAAAGUCAAGGCCCUUCCCUUACACUGAAGAGAUAUUUGUGCAAAUCAAAUCGUUUUGA